rfam:Schistosoma mattheei strain Denwood, Zambia genome assembly, scaffold: SMTD_contig0003745
UGCUGAGGAGUCCCAUACUAGGACGAAACGGCCGUCCAGUGC